UCCAUCCAUAUUGCAGCAUGUGUCAGCACCUCAUUCUUUCUUAUGGCUGAAUAAUAUUUCAUUGCAUCAUAAUUUGGUUAUUCAUUCAACUGCUGAUGGACAUUUAGGCUUCUCUACCAUUUUGCUAUUGGGAAUAGGGCUACUAUGAACAUUUGUGUAUGAGGAUUUUUUAAAUCUGUUUUCACUUUUCUGGGGUAUGCAGUCAGCAGUGGAGUUGUUGGCCACACAUGUGCUAUUCUUUUUGCACGAGCUACCCUUCACUCCUCAUAUCUCACUUCAUCCAGCUAAACCUCUCCUUAGAUCUCUUCCCUUUAGGCUUCUCACAGGAAGCCUUUUGGAUGCUCCUCCUACGCGCCCUUGCAGCAUUCAGCACAUACCUCUAUUAAAGCAAUUCUAUGUUGUAAUUACUCAAUUUUUUUCUUUUUGUCUCCCUCUCAAUGCUACAUGGUCCUGAGGGCAGAGACUGUGCCUUAUUCAGGACCUGUCACUAGUGUUAGGAAAGUUCCUGGUGUACACUAAUUGCUCAGAAAUUAUUUGUCAGAUGAAUGAAUGAACUUCCUUGACAACUGCACUCAGAUAUUUCUUUCCUCUGAAUGUCUUAUAGCCGCUGGAGUCUGUCUCACACAAUUUGGCAUUUAAUAAUAAAUUAUUUUGUAGAGUCCCAAGUUGUUUCAUGUAGGUUGGCCUUCUUUUACAAAUUCAGUCAUAGACAUCUUAAGAGAAUAAUAAUGUAAUUUUUUUUCGUUUUUGCAGUCCUGAUCACAUGACAAAUGUUCAAUAAACAUUUGCUGAUUGUCGUGGAGGACAGAAAAGUGGCUGCUCAAGACUUGAAAUUAUAACAUUUUAAAGUUAAAAGGACUAUACAAUCAUCCAGAUAAUCCAUUUGUAUUUCUUGUUUCACUGGCAGGUUUCUCUAGAAAUAUUAUCCUGGAAAAAUAGCUUCUCUUGUCCCUGAGGUGAAUAAAAUUGUUUUUUCCUUAUAUCUAUCCCAGAGGGCCACCUUCUCUGCCCCAGGAGAGCCUUCUGUGGCUCCCCAUGGAUUGUCUGAGGAGAAGCCAACCCCAUGUACAUCCUCUACACUUUCAUUAGUGACGGUUACUUGAAAGUCCUAUGCUGGGAUGCCUUUUGUUUCCAUAGGACUUUCUCUAAAAAUACCACAAAAUUAGGUUGUCAGGGAGAUUACAUGAAACCCAAAUGAUACAUUUGGUAUUUAAUUCUAAAAGCACAACCAAGUAAAAACAGUGUUUUUUAGCUGCAAAUUUUAAAUCUGCUGCAUAGUUAUUCUGUUGUCUGCCACCUUCACGAUAUUUAAAAACAUCUUCCCAGGCAAGGAACAUAAUUCACAAUUUCUAGAAGGAACAACUCAGGACACAGAACAAACACAAACAAGAGACUUGUAGUGGCCAGGAUCUGCACAUGUCACAUGGUACCUGUACCUGCAUUUCCAGGAACACUGAGCACUGUCCCAAUGGAGAUUAGGAUUGGGUAUGUCAGCACCACCCCAACAUUCACCAGGAUGUUGAAGGCUGUAAAAUAGAGGAGGAAAUACAAGAUAAAGGAGAAAUAAUAUGCUGGACUUUUUUCUUCUCAAAGUAAAUGAAUCAAUGUCUUUGCUACAUGUGCCUUUUAAACUGUCUAUACCUUUGAUCCUCUAAUUUUGGAGAUGGAAGAUGGAUGCAUGUGUAUUCUACCUGAAUUAGUCAUGUUUUUCUUUCCUCCUCUGCCAUUCUGUUUAGCUGAAUCUUGCCAAUAGGCUGGCAAAAGGCAUAGAGAGCAAAUACAAAGAGGUAAAAUAAUUGAUUCACAGCACUGCUUAUUGGCACUAUAAAGGUAGGUUGGGGCCAGCCAGAGGUUAAAAGCAGGUGAUUGAUUGAAGAUGGUGCCUCAUCUCUUUAUUGCUAUGCUAUUUUGUGCCACAUUCCUGGACAUUAAAUGGCUCCAGUGUUACUGCCUAAAGGAAGGUCUAUCCAAUGAUAGCCUAUGCUGUUUUAUCCCCUCUCUCUGGAGGUCAGCAUCAUGCGGGCAAACAAGGGUGGGUUUAAAUGUAAUUCACUGAAUUCCAGAGACUGUCUCCAUAUCCUGAUUUUUGUACAGAUAAUCAGAGAGCAGAUCCACAGAACCAACUGAAGGUGUAGCUUCAUGCUCUUCAAUGAAUACCUUUUGGAACUCUUUGGUUAAAUAUAAAAUUAGUUACAAUAAUCAUUUAUUCACUUUAAAACUUAUCAAAAACACAUUUUCAAAAAGAAAAAAAUUAUAAAUUACAAAACAUUAUUCUAAUAGAAUCCACUCAAAUGUUUGUUUCAGGGGAUAGAGAGAUGAGUGCUAUCUCCAUGACAAUGAGGGAAGCAUGUUGCCUAUAUCUCUGUAGAACCAAAAAACGUUCUAGAACCAUUCCAAUUAGGAUGAUGUAUGUUCUUCUAUUGUCAUCUGUAAUUCCCGCUUUAGGCCCACUGGGUCACUUGUGCUUGAUAGUUAGAAACAGUGAGUUUGACUUUUACACGACUUGGGCUCCUUUUUAUUGUUCAUACAAUAGUAGUGGCAAGCAAGGCAGAGGGUCUUCCUAAGCUAAUAACUGCUCCUCAUUCCUGACAAAGCUGCAACAUGAAUGAAUAUUCCAGCACUUUGACGCUCUCCUCAGACUUAGGGAGUCCAACAUGGCAAAUUCGUACAAAUCAGGAAUUUAUGAAAUACAGCACAGGCUCUGCUGAACUCCAUAGUAUGGGGCCUAGCCUGAGUUUAAGUGCAAUUCAGACAUGCUAGGUGAAGGGAGGAGGCUGACUUGCAUUUGGGCUAACGCAUUUCUGGAAAGGUAGGUCAACCUGAGAGGAUUGAGGCAAAGUAAAUGUAAGCAAACAAGAAACCAUAACUACAGGAAAUGUGGGGUAGUUCAGGGUGCAGACUGAUGUGUAUCUCUCAGACCUGUGUCAGCCUAGCCUCAGCCAGAUCAUGUCUGAUUUCUAUGGAGAAAAGAGGGAUGGCAAUAAACACUUAGAAAUAGGAGCACUGAAGACCGUAAGAUCCUGGGGUGUGUAACAGCCAGGAGGGAAGCUGUCUCCUCAAUUGUCACAGCACAACUUUGGCACAGUGAGCUCUGCAGUACACUGGGGUGGGCCUGGUGGAGCAGCUGCAGUGCUGCUUAGCACUGCAGCCAGUGGAGUGUGGAGCUCAUACUGCUUGGUGGCAAAUGCCAGUGUUUAGCUAGCACAGGUGGCAUCCAGCCUCUGCAGGCUUGCUUAGGAGCAUGUAUUGGAUAUGCCAAGGAGUAUAUGUUGGUGGAGGGCUACUUUGCAGCAAGGUGGAAAUCAUGUGUGCAAUGAGGAGGCUAAAGAUCAUUAAAAUUUUAAUUAGGAUUGUUCCCAUUUAUGUUGUUUUUGGCCAGAAAAUAAUCUAGAUGCUUUUAAUGAGGAUGUUUUGGUCUUACGGAAAUAUCGCUAUUGAUUUCUACUCAACUUAGCAGAAGUUAUGAGAGGUGCUAACCAUAUAAUUUUGGCAUCGAAAAGUAGAACUCAAGGGACCAACAAUUAAUAUUUGAUCCUUCUCUUGAGUGUUUUCUGUCUAAGACCUCCCCUGAGUCUGAGGGACUGAGCCAGCAUAGAAAAAGAUGACCCAAUCAAUACUCUUGCAGGGAUGAAAAUAAGAACAUGUUGCUCCCAGGAAUUGCAGUGCUGCUACUAUUUCAAAUUAUGUCACCUCAAUAAAGAAGGUCAGUUGAGGGUUGAUAGAUGUUCUGCAGGCCGAGUAUUGUGGGAAAAUGAGGAGUGGGCAGAGGGAGUUGACCUCCGAGUGGCGUGUGGAAAUGGGAGCGGCAUGAAAAGGAUUUGAUUCUGAGUAAACAAACACCAAGUCAUUGGGUUGUUGCUGUUUUUUGACUGCUUGGUGAGAGAAGAGCAACCUUGUUAUUUUACAGGCUCCUCUCACAUCAAGUGGCAACAGCAGCACAGCUUAAAAGUCGGAUCCCGGAGCUCAGGUGAGGCAGCCAGCCUCAGAGUUAUAGGAAGUUGGCAGUGAAGACAUUACAAAGACUCCAGGUGAUUUUUUCUUGGCCAUUAACUAGGCACUGUCUACCCAGCCAGGAUCACCAAGCCCAGUGCAUGCUGCUGUCUCUUUACUGGCAAUGUCUUCCUAUCACAAAUCCAUCCUCCAUUCUCAGCCAGAGUGAGCUGUUUCAUAUGCAGAUAUGAGCCUAUCACCAACCUGCUUAAAGAUUAUUAAGUGAACUUUGAAUCCAAACACCUCAAAAUGGCUUUCCAGGCUCUUCCCAACCUGCUUCCUUCUUAAAUAGCAUCUCCCUCCCUCCCUCCCUCCCUUCCUCCCUCCCGAACUUAGUGCUCCCACCAGUUUGAACCACUCUGAGUUCUUUGAAUGCAUCAUCUACUCCCUAACCUCUGCUCAACACACCAUGGCACACAUGGAACAUUAUAACGCGAUACAGUGCAUUAGAAAGAACGAAUGAGGCUGAAGAAGAAGAAUGGAUUGAAGGCCAGUGGUAUACAGAGAGGCCUGGGCCUCCAUUGCACACCUUAACUCAUGGGAGGCAUACUAGUUAGAUAGCUUGAACCUAAUCAACCAGCAGCUUGCAAAGAACCUUCUAAACAUGACCAAUGAUGUUGAACAACAUACGUUUGGGAACUAGAGCACAGAGUUACCCAAGGAAAUAAUCCUAUGAUGAUAAUCUAACUAGCCAAAGAAAGAUUGAGUGAUAUAGGGAAUGGAAGGCAAAACCCGAGGCCACUUACCCAGCCACAGCCCUGCCAUCCCACAGAGACAGCCCCACGGCAGAGCUGCAAAAGAGGACCAGUGCUCCACCUUGGUGAAAUACAAGAUGACUGGGGUGAAGGAGAUGAAGAUCAAAUUGAAGAAACCCAAGGUGGAGACAAAGUGUGCGGCUUCCCCAAAGUUGGCACUUCCAAGAAACAUUUUAAACAAGACCUGGAAUGAGAAAAAAAACUCUACAGCCGCACAGAGACUUAGCUAGAACAGAAAGUGCUCAAGUCUAAGUUAUGAGUGACAGUUGCUUACAAAAGAAAAUGCCAAACAUACCUUAUAUAAUGCAGAUGUAGAGGCUGAGCCCACUGCAAAUGCCACUCCUACGAUGGAAUCAGCGUGGAAAUUAUCUGCAUACGCCAUCAUGACAAUGCCGAAAAACACAAAAUGACUCUUCUUGGCCUCAGCUUUCUGGAAAUGUGUCUGCAGGAAGCCAGCGCCUAAAAAUGCUCAUAUGUGUUCAUUAACAUGAUGACAACCACUGAAGUGCUCCUGGGACACAUUAACAUCCAUAAGAGGAAUUCUGCUGAAAAUACACCAUCUAGUGGUGCCACCUGCUCGGCUUCUGAAAAAUGUGGGUCUCUUGACAAUCUAUUCCGGUUCCAGCCUCUUAACCAAGCAGAAGUGUCUAAAUAAGAUGUAAAACUAGGCCAGGCACAGUGGCUCAUGCCUGUAAUCCCAGCACUUUGGGAGGCCCAGGUGGGUGGAUCACAUGAG